GGGCGAAUGGCGGAAUAGGUAGACGCGCUGGACUCAAAAUCCAGUUCCCGUAAAAGGGAGUGAGAGUUCGAUUCUCUCUUCGCCCA
rnacentral:tRNA from 1 species